GACGAACGCUGGCGGCGUGCUUAACGCAUGCAAGUCGAACGAAGAGCGACGGAAGCUUGCUUCUAUCAAUCUUAGUGGCGAACGGGUGAGUAACGCGUAAUCAACCUGCCCUUCAGAGGGGGACAACAGUUGGAAACGACUGCUAAUACCGCAUACGAUCUAACCUCGGCAUCGAGGAUAGAUGAAAGGUGGCCUCUACAUGUAAGCUAUCACUGAAGGAGGGGAGUGCGUCUGAUUAGCUAGUUGGAGGGGUAACGGCCCACCAAGGCGAUGCUCAGUAGCCGGUCUGAGAGGAUGAACGGCCACAUUGGGACUGAGACACGGCCCAGACUCCUACGGGAGGCAGCAGUGGGGAAUCUUCCGCAAUGGACGAAAGUCUGACGGAGCAACGCCGCGUGAGUGAUGACGGCCUUCGGGUUGUAAAGCUCUGUUAAUCGGGACGAAAGGCCUUCUUGCGAAUAGUGAGAAGGAUUGACGGUACCGGAAUAGAAAGCCACGGCUAACUACGUG
rnacentral:rRNA from 1 species